GCUGACAAAUUUUGGAAACAAUUCUAUGGUAAAAAUUACGAGUAUGGGAUGGCAACUAUCUAUGUUGGCGAAAGGUUUUGGAAUGUGAUGAUGAAAGGAUGGACUGAUGGAUGCAGAUUUACUGAUGGAUGGUCAAAAUUGAUUGAAGAAGUUCCCAUACCAGUUGAAUCUUGGUUAAGUUUCACCAUGAUUGCAUCUAAAACGUUUGAGCUUUCCGUUUUCCAUUUCGAGUCUGGAACUGAGGUUUCCUUCAAGAAAGGCUAAACACAAACAGCUUCUGGAUUCCGGGGAAGUUGCUUUGAAUGAUGUGGAUACUGGAGCUUCGCUUGAAGAUCAUUCUGUAAAAAUAGCUGAUGAUGUUAACGAUCUUCAACUACAGUCUAAAGAUUUUCCUGUUCGUGACAUUUCUGCCUCUUCAAGUGUUGUAUCUAAUGUGGAAAAGAUGCGCAAACUUCGUGACAAGACAAUUGUAGAGGAUAAUAAAGCUGUUGAUAGACCGUGUAAAGUUCGAAAGGUUCAUUUAGUAUCAUCCACUUCAGAAUCAAUCUUACACUUCACCACACAUGCUGAAGACAGACUUCAACUGCCAUCGGAUGUAUCGUCUGCGUUGGAUCUGCAUACUGAUAAUCCUAAGCCUAUCAAGAUCCAGAAUCUCAAAUGUGAAGUCCAAGAACUGUUUACAACAUCUCAAAAAACCAAUACUGGAUUCAACUAUGAUAUUGUUGGAUGGUCUUCUUAUCUGAGAUCUUGCAAUAUUGCUUUUGGUGAUGAACUUUAGUUAGAGUUUCACAAGUCUACUCAAUUGCUGAAGUUAAAAAAAGUUGUGCAUAUCGUGACAAAGAUAAAGUCCUCUUAGUUUCAUGUCAUGAUUGUUUGUGGUUGUACAUUUGGUUUGUUGGUGGUACUAAUUUUGCUUCUUAGACAUGUUCUAUAUGUGUAGUUAUGUCGAUAAACAAGUUUCAUUGUCAAUGGGUGGGUGCUACUUUUUUUUGUGGAUAG